GCGCGGCGGCACCGGGCGCCGGGGGUUCCGCGCCGAGCUGACCCGCGGGCCGGCGCCGAGCAGCGGCGGCGGCGGCAGGGCUGCACAGCACUGGCAUCCCAGACGUCACCCAGCAGAUAGCAGGGUCGGGUCGCUGGCCGUCGGGAAGCAAGAGCUUGGACUACCAACUCUGAGCUGUAGACUAUUAAGCUCAGCAUCCUAAUUUGGUACCACCUUUGGAAGGAUGAAUCAGGAGAGCGACUCAGAUUAUGAGCCUGCUGGCCAGGACCCACUCCUACUGCUGAAAACCCUCCAGCUUCUCUGGACAAAGAAAGAGAUGAAGAAGCAGCUCAAGGAAGAAAUCAGGCGGGGCUUUGCAGGACUGGAGGACCCAUUGGCAGGACUCCUGGACAUACUGGAGAGCAGCGGCGAUUGGAAGGGGAAGGGGCAUUCCCUUGGGUAUUACAUCACCAGUGAGUUGCAGCUUUGGAUGAAAGAGCAUCCUGCUGUUCAACAGUCUGGCAUGAAGCUGAAGAAGCUGCAGACCCGUGUACUCAGAAUACUAGCGCAGUGCCCAGCUAAUCUUCUUGACCCUCUGAUUAGCAUUUACCAGCUCCAUACAGCAGACCGGAACUAUUUGCUUGGACAUGUCAGUCAUCUUUAUCACAGGGGUGAUUACAAAGAGGCAGCCAUACUGAGUAUUAAGCUAAAAUUACAGCCAGAUCAAGAUGUGGAGAAGAUGUGUAUGCCACUACUGUUUCAAGAUAAAAUUAACUUGAUGGAAGAUUAUGUGGGAGAGUAUCCUGAGCUCCAGUGCAAGCUCUUACAGAUCCUGGACACCUGGUGUGAACCUGGUUUUAAUAUCAGAGACAUUGCAAGACAAUAUCAAGGUCUGUCCAGCUACAAACCAGACAAAUUGAACCACAAAAUGCUAAGCAAGCUGGUCUUCAGGCUCCUAGACCGAUUUAACGUAGAUCCAGCUCUCUGCCCUAAUGUCAUAAAUCAGCGGCACUUAAGAACUCUGAAUUAUCUCUUUUACAAGAGGUUUGUUGAGAAAACCAUGACUCAGGAGAAUUGGACAGAUCAUGUUCAGAGCACAGUUGGAGAGAGUCAGUGGCUUCAAGGGCACCUGAUAGAGUUGCUAAUCAGUUACUGUGAUUUGAACACAGCAGCAAGAUGGGCACAACGCUGCAAUUUGCCCAAGGAGAUACUACCUAAUGGAGUGGCUGAUGAGCUUCAAAAGCUUAAGAUCCAAGAGAGCGUAGAAGAGGCCACAAAAGCAGAGAAUUAUGAAGAGGUCAACAAGAAGGAUUAUUACCAGCUUCCUAUUCCACGUGCAAACAUUCAUUUCCUGCAAAAGUGGGAAGAGAUGCUGCAGUGCUGGGAAAAGGUGCUGCAGCCUGGACAGAUUGUUGCUAUUGACAUGGAGUGGAGGCCUUCAUUUGGCAUGGUUGGGAAGCCCCGUGUCUCCCUCCUUCAAAUCGCUGUGAAGGAUGAAGUGUUCCUGCUUGAUUUGCCACAGCUCCUUGAACAAGCUGAGGUGGAGGGUGAGAAGGAGAAGCUUCCCCAUUUCAUCCAGAUGCUCUAUUCAGAUGCAGCCAUCACUAAACUAGGUUAUGGGAUGUCUGGAGACCUUAGCAGUCUUGCAGCCACAUGCUUUGCUUUGAAAGGCAUGGAUAAGCAAUCACGAGGUGUAGUGGACCUACUCACAGUAGACAAACAACUUCAGAAGAGCUCCAUUGACUGGAAGAAGGGCAGCCGGAAGGUUGAUACACUGUUCCCAGAGCAGAGCUAUGAGGAUAAAGGGAUCAGGCAGCCAGAGAAAGGGCUCAGCCUCUUGGUACAACAUGUACUGGGAAAACCUCUAGAUAAAACAGAGCAGCUGUCUAAUUGGGAGAAACGGCCGCUGCGGGAGGAACAGAUCAUAUAUGCAGCUUCAGACGCAUACUGCUUGCUGGAGAUCUAUGAGAAAUUGUGUAAGGAUCCAGCAAGCUUUGGUCUGAGUUCAGACCUGACUAAGAGUCUGGUGGGAAAACCAAGCGUAAAAGCCAAGACAAAGAAGCAGCUGAAUAAACAAGAGGUACCGUCACCUUGUGGACAGCAAUUUAAGGCAUCUGACAAGGAGACCUCAUGUCCCCCUGCUCCCAUUUCCCCCAAAGAGUUCAGUGUCGUCUGUGAUAACAUGCUGCAAGGCCUCGGACGCUAUCUUCGCUGCCUUGGUGUAGAUGUCCGGAUGCUGGAGAAUGAGGAUGACCAUAGGAAAGCUGCUGAGAUUGCUCGACAGGAAGGAAGGGUCAUUUUAACCUCUGGACUACCAUAUCAGACUCUGCAGUCCCAGGUAGGAGAAGGAAGGUGCUUCUCCGUGAACUGCUCAGAAAAGGCAAAGGAACAGGCCCUGCAGGUUUUGAAGCACUACAACGUUCACGUAACCCUGGAGGACAUCUUCAGCCGCUGCCAGUGUGAGCUGCCUCUCUGCAGGUGAGGAGCUGGUAACCACCAUCACGACAACAACACAUCUCAGCGUCUUCCUUGGCACUUGCACAAAUCAAUCAUCUCUUUUGGAAUAAAAGUUUCCCCUAAAACAAGGGUGAGAUGUGGCAAGGCAGUGAUUUUCAGGACAGCGGACGCAGAUUGUCUCUCACUGGAUCGUUAAGCUUUCCUGGGUGCUUUUGGAAAUCUGACUGGUAUGGAUGUUUGCAUUUAGAGCAAAUACUUGGGCUGAAUUAUCAUGUUUGAAUUCCAUUAGGUUUCUGAACCCGAUGUUCCUACUUGCAGUGCACCGUGGAAAGCCCACAGGGAAAAAGGCUUGGGAGAAUUGAGAUGAGCGUGGUGGGAGCCGUGGUGCUCAGGAACCAGAGGUUAUAUGCAACACAAAUGAGUUCACUGGCUUGGUUUACCGCAUCAGUCAACAAAUAGUUGUGUCAGCAUACACAUGCGAGCAAUGUGUGCAGGGCUGUGUGGACAAACACCCUGAGCUGACAAGAAAACAGUACAAGGGCUGACAGGGACAUGCACCUCCAGAGAGCAGAGUACCCUUGGGGGCAGAGCUAAUACUUCUCCAGUAUUCCCUUUUCCCUUGUCACUUUGGUCUUCUAGAAAAAAAACUGGGGACAUUGACUGUGACCUGACCAUAACACUGAGCAAGCUGCGUUGCAGGUAUGUGGAAAUGAUGAAUGCAUCCGUGCAGCUGUACUUUAUUUCUCACUUUUAUAUUUUGACUUGAUUCUUUGUACACAUUUAUGGAUGCUCUUCUUGUUUUUUAAGUCCCCGUCCACUCUCAGUCCCCAGUGAGUGUAGGUGUCACUGCAAAGUGGGAUGCUGUGACAAAGCAGAGUUGUUGAAGUCUUCCCUGCUUGCUUCAGGGACACACGGUUUGCAGCACUGGUACCCAGACAGCAUUCCUCCGGCAUCUGUGGCACAUCCAUCAGUGGGAGCAGGGUCAUCACACACCGUGUUCUGGGGAUUUUCAUUCUCCUUGUGCUCCCCAAGUGCUGUUCAACUCUCACCACCAUAACAGCAGGGCAGGGUAAAAUCUCUGUAGUACUGGUUUAGCCCACACAGUGUUAAAAGCGACGUCAUGGUCUUGUCACUGCACUGCAGACCGCUGCCAGAGACCUGCACCUUCCCCAGGCCGCAGAUCAUUGCACGGGCUGGGCAGCCCUUGCAGGCAGCACCGUUGGCUGCAGCCCGGCUGGGCACACGCCCUGCAACAGCAUCCCCACCAGUUCUGAAAAAUGUCUGUUUUGUUCCUAUUAUCCACAUCAGAACUCAUAAAAUCACCCAUCCUCAGAACCAGUAGCCAAAUUUCUUGCCUGUUUACAUCUCAUGUUAGACCCUGGGUAAUUUGGGGAGAUUAGGGCAGUAAACAGUUGUAAACAGAAUAAACCUGGAUAACAUUGCAAAGGGCAGCCCUCUUAAAUGUUGUUUUUAGUGUCGGUGUAAUUUGUGUGUGGUUUUGUCUCGUCUAUAAAGGCAGUGCAGUGAUUAGAUAUACUGGAUGAGAUAACUGGAAAAUGCAUUACACACCGGGAUGUCUUCAAGGUUUAACCAUUGGCUUAAACUUGCUUGUAACUCCAGCCACUGCUUGGGCCUGGGCGUGAAGCCUGCGUGUAGCCAGAGGAGCAGAAUUAACUUUUUCCUGCCCUGGCCAGGUACAGGGAGGGCUGGGACCCAUGCAGAAAGACUGGGGAUGGGCAGAGCUGCUGGCAGCUGGGAAGUUACCGUGUGCUUCUCAGGCUAUUUUUGAAGCUAGAAAUGCAAGUGUAGCCAACUCUUCAGCAUUUUCCCACACCUUUCAUGUGACACAGGACUGUGCCCAGUCAUAGGACUCUGUCCUUAGGACUUAAUGAAUUAUCACAGUUUCACUUCCCUGGUGUUUUUUUUUUUGUUCCUUUUUGGAGGCAGCAGAGUUGGUUCCCUUUGAUGCCCUGAUAGGGGAACUGCAUGGUAGAGCUCCUCUCCAAAAAGUGGCUGUUAUUGAAGGAUUUUAUCCAGUCUGGGGCAGUUUCUGCAGGCAGGUAGUGCUCAUCUCAUUCUCUCCAGAUGUGUUUCACACCAGAUGUUCAGUGUCUUCAAAUAUAGAACCAACUCUUGGGGCAAAAAAAGAGCUUUGCAGGUGGUUUUAUGCAUAAUUCUCACUAUGGUUAAGCACUAACCUUAAUGCAGUUUAGAUCAACAUUUACAAACAGUGAAAUGUACAGCAAUUCACAUUGUUAUAUUGAAAUGGUUAGAGAAAACUUAACCCUAACUACUGCAUGCACCCUUUGCUUACCCACAGCUUUUGGAUUUCUUGAUAGCCAGUCCCCUUCAGGUCUUUGCCCGUUGUGCUGUGUUGAGGACACAACCAAACAUAUGCAGAAAGACUGGCUACACAGAAAAUGCUUUGAUUAUAUAUAUAAAACCCAAGCUAUGGAUUGAGGUGCAGGUUUUCUGAUCUGCUUCAAUUGCAGCCAUUCUAGGGAUGCCUGUGACAAUAAUCAUUAAAAAUGCUCAAACAGCUACAUGAUUUUUAAGUCACUGGUAUUCCUUUAAGUCUAACAUAGCAUUAGAGUGUUAAUUUAAAAAGCAUACCAAAAUGAAAUGCUCCUUAGAGAACCAAGAACCUGACAUUUGUGUGAAAACCCUGGAUUAUAAACUGCUUCUUCUACUUUUGCUGCCAAAUAUGCAAAGUAAAUUGCACAAUUUCAGGGAUGCAGUUGAGCUGCUUUAUAUUUUUCUUUCUCCAACUGAGAAAAAAAAAUUCUUCAAUCUGAGAGGGAGUCAUUUGUUUUUCUUGAAGUGUAACACAUGUAGGCCCUCAUCAACAACAAUACAAUAUCUUUUCCACCAUUUCUUAUCUCACUAUAUCAUGUGGUUGUGAUUUUUCUAAGAGAAAAAAUGUUUGUUUGCUUUGUUUGCUAUAAUUUCUGGGCUAUUUUUCAUAGCAGAAUUUAUCAAGAAAAGCAGCAAUCGCAGUUGUGUGUUGUAUGGGGGCACUAGAUCUUUUUCCAUUCCAUGCUUAGUUGUGAGAAUGUUCUCAGCAUGUGAGACUGUUCUCAUCCAGAUUGUUCUCUUCCUUAGUUGUCAAAUACCCAAAACCUUUUACUUGAGCUUCAUCAAUAGAUUGCACAAUCAAUGGUUGCUUUAUGGCAGAUGCUGAGAUGCUUUCUUACCAGUUUGUUAGCACUCUUUUUUAAAUUGUAAUAUUAUAAAACGCUGGUUCAAGUUUCAUCAGUGUUGUAAUAUGUUCUGGGAGAAAGGGAUGGAGAGCUUUUAGAAACCUACCUCAAUAAAUUCUCAAAUUCACGUGCCUGCAACUCAGUCAUUGAGAAUGGGUUUAUGAGUGCAAUCUUCUCAAUGGGAGAGGGAAAUUGGACAUAAAAGUAUGGGCUGGUCUCAGCCACAGGGAUUGGAGACAUUAGGUUGGCAUAGGGCGUGGGUAUUUCAUGGGGAAUGUUUACUGUAGAAAGCUUCCAAAACAUGUUUAGAGCAUUUAAAAUCUGAUGGGCUUAAAAUCUGAUAGCAUAUAUUAAUUGCAUAAAUCAGAAUAGUUAGGGUGCUCAGUCAUGGUCCCUUUAUGUGUAAGUUGUGUUGAUAGCUCAGUGAUCACCAAAAGUGUCCAAGUCUUGUUCUGCAGGUGGGACAGCCACUUUCCCGUACAUAUGAGCUCUCCAGACUUUGGUAACCUGUCCAUUAUUUAUCACUUUACUAUCUUUGUCUGAAUUGUCACUUCGGACUUCUGUUUUGUUUUAUGUUCCCAAUAUCACACUAGAUAUUUGGGGGCCAUGCAGUAGCUGCGAGUCCAAGCGCCCGCCUUGGCCAUUGCGGGUGCUGCUCUGGCACCCGCCCGAGCAGGUGGCGCACUGCUCGAAGGGGCUGAACACGGCACCCUGCUGCUUCCCACCCGCCCCAGCAGCAUCUCAGCCCCAGAAGGAUGGAAAACAUUUGCCUACUUUGCUGCUGCUGCUGAGCUCACUGUAUUUGUCCUCAAAAGUAUAUGAGAAGAAAAAGAGGAAAAAUGUGUAGAUUCCUACAGCUGAGGUUGGAAGGGGCCUCUGGGAGCCCCUGGGUCUAUACAAGUUUGAUAGGUAGUUUGGUCUGAGUACAGAAAGGGACUGUGAGUGCUGACAAGAAAUGUUUCUCUCCUGAGGCCCAUCUGAGGUCCUUUCAAAGUCAGCACAGGGACUGCCUUUGACAUUGAGUGGCAGAUCUGGGGUCCUUGUGGUGACAUUCAUGUCUCCAGCUUUGAACUUCUAACAACCGGGCAGGUGGUGUAAGAUCCUGGUAGAGACACGGACAUCUCCAGGACUUCUUCCACCAGUCCUGAGGCACCUGGGGAUAUGAGUGACCUGCUACAGAUCCUGUCUUGAUCCACCAGCUUUCGGGAGAGCCUCUGUGACACACUCAGCACUUUGUGGGACUUUCAGCUUGGCAAGGAGGUAAAGUUGCCUGGCUGUGCUGAAACCAGUUCAUAAUUUCUUCUUUAUUUCAGAAAAUUUGUUUGUUAAGAGAGAUUUUAGUCUGUGAUAAAACAAAUGACUUGUGAGUUCAUCACAGCUCUUCAGGUUUUGCAGAGGCUCAGAGCUCAAGUGUCAUUUCACAGCAAGGGUUUUCCUGCUGUUAGACUUGUGCUGUAUGGCUGGAGUGUGAGUGGAUAAGGGUUUGGCCAGCAGGAUUUAAGCCCAGAAGCUGAAGGCAUUAUGAAGGCAUUAGGCUGUGGACUUACUUGCUCUCAAAAUGUGUUUAUAGACAAGAAGUUGGGAGUUUCCAGGAAAUCCAAAAAA